rnacentral:rRNA from 1 species
AAAGUGAAUAGUGAAAUCUGGUGGCUCAACCAUUCAGACUAUUAUCUAAACUGGGCGUCUCGAGAGCGUUAGGGGUAGCUGGAAUUUCUAGUGUAGGAGUGAAAUCCGUAGAUAUUAGAAAGAACACCGAUAGCGUAGGCAGGCUACUGGGACGUUUCUGACACUAAGGCACGAAAGCGUGGGGAGCAAACGGGAUUAGAUACCCCGGUAGUCCACGCUGUAAACGAUGGAUGCUA